AUUCCAGCCCUAAGGUCAGGACCCACUGGGACCUAACUGGCACAUACCCAGUGCUGAGCCAAUCACUGUGGCCAGGGAGGAUGGCCAGAUUGAGGUCCUGUGACCACCCUCCCUAAGGAAACUCCUGAGCUGUUCAACCUGUUUUCCUGUGUGGGAGUGAACCUGAGAGAACAGAGGAAAGACGUCAAACUCAUAAGCACGGUGUGGAACUGGAUUACCACUCCCCCCCAUUCGGUGCCCUGUAUCGAAGUGCCCUGCUCGGUUGGAGGAUUAUACAGCACGGCCCAUGUUGUCCUCAGGCAUGGCAGAGGGGCUGCUGAACAGUGAAAACAGAUGUGAGCACACGCGUUAAGAACCAGAGACCCUAAAACUCCCAGAGUGUUGAGGUCUCGUGCCCUCGCCGCCACAGCCCCCAGGCCGAGGACAGCGUCCAGCUCCGUAAACAACACCAAAAGGCAACGUUUGAAGGAUCCUCGUUCUGCACCGUGCUCUCCUCUGGGUGCUGCGCCUGCUGGUAUUUCUGUAAUCCUCCCACACCCUCCGAGGUGGGCAAGCAUUACAUUCACUUUACAGAUGCACACGCCAAAGCCCAAAGAGGUCACCGAGGUGGUCAGUGUCACAAGGCAGUAAGUGAGGUUGGCUCUAGGGUCUGUGCAUUUAACUACUGCCCCUUCGAUGUGAAACCAGCUCAACUGAAUUGAACCCACCCACCCCAGCAACCAGCUUCAGUGUUUGUCCUGUCGCUACUAGCCCCUGCCUUCUUGCCUCACCCCCAGACCCAGGCAAAGGGGCAGCCCACCGGGAUACGUGUCUGCCUCCAUCGCCUCCUCCAAGCUGUGUGACCAAAGCUGGCUACCCGCCGUCUCUGAGCCUCGGUUUUCUCACCGUGAGUGGGGCUGGCAGUGGGAGACCCUGUUGUGGAGGCUGACCUUGGGCAGCACCCCACCGCUCCAGGUGAACAGUCAGGAGCCUGAUAAGAGGGCGUUCCCUCCCCCAGAGAGCCCUGUGGGGCCCAGCUGCCUGCCACCCAGUGACUGAUGUUCAGCUGCUGCAGCCCGAAGCCAGAGCAAGUUUAUGAUGCUCUAGCUGGUUUUUAAUCACAGCAAGAUGAGAAUUUGGCAGAUUCAGACACCGAUUCGUGCGA